AGGUCCCGCCUGCCCAGUGAAAAUUUUAACGGCCGCGGUAUUCUAACCGUGCAAAGGUAGCGUAAUCACUUGUCUUCUAAAUAAAGACCAGUAUGAACGGCUAAAUGAGGACAGACCUGUCUCCUAUGACUAAUCAGUGAAACUGAUCUUCCAGUACAAAAGCUGGAAUACAGACAUAAGACGAGAAGACCCUGUGGAGCUUCAAACAUCCACUAACAAGCAAAUAAUCUGCCCUAGUGUGUAGUUUUGAGUUGGGGCGACUUCGGAGUAAAAUAAAACCUCCGAGCACAGAGCCACACACUCUCACCAAGACCAACAAGCCAAAGUUAAAACAGCCGACCCAGUAACACUGAUCAACGAACCAAGUUACCCCAGGGAUAACAGCGCUAUCUUCUUCAAGAGUCCCUAUCGACAAGAAGGUUUACGACCUCGAUGUUGGAUCAGGACACCCAAAUGGUGCAGCCGCUAUUAAUGGUUCGUUUGUUCAACGAUUAACAGUCCUACGUGAUCUGAGU
rnacentral:rRNA from 1 species